UACAGAGGUCCCGAGCGUUGUUCGGAUUCACUGGGCGUAAAGGGUGCGUAGGUGGUGAGGUAAGUCGGAUGUGAAAGCUCGGAGCUCAACUCCGAAAUGGCAUUGGAAACUACCUUGCUCGAGGGUUGGAGGGGGGACUGGAAUACUUGGUGUAGCAGUGAAAUGCGCAGAUAUCAGGAGGAACACCGAUGGCGAAGGCAGGUCUCUGGGCCACUACUGACGCUGAGAAGCGAAAGCAUGGGGAGCGAACAGG
rnacentral:rRNA from 1 species